AGUGAACGCUGGCGGUAGGCCUAACACAUGCAAGUCGAACGGCAGCACAGUAAGAGCUUGCUCUUACGGGUGGCGAGUGGCGGACGGGUGAGGAAUACAUCGGAAUCUACUUUUUCGUGGGGGAUAACGUAGGGAAACUUACGCUAAUACCGCAUACGACCUACGGGUGAAAGCAGGGGAUCUUCGGACCUUGCGCGAUUGAAUGAGCCGAUGUCGGAUUAGCUAGUUGGCGGGGUAAAGGCCCACCAAGGCGACGAUCCGUAGCUGGUCUGAGAGGAUGAUCAGCCACACUGGGACUGAGACACGGUCCAGACUCCUACGGGAGGCAGCAGUGGGGAAUAUUGGACAAUGGGCGCAAGCCUGAUCCAGCAAUACCGCGUGGGUGAAGAAGGCCUUCGGGUUGUAAAGCCCUUUUGUUGGGAAAGAAAAGCAGCAGGUUAAUACCCCGCUGUUCUGACGGUACCCAAAGAAUAAGCACCGGCUAACUUCGUG
rnacentral:rRNA from 1 species